GACGGAGGAUGCAAGUGUUAUCCGGAAUCACUGGGCGUAAAGCGUCUGUAGGUGGUUUAAUAAGUCAACUGUUAAAUCUUGAGGCUCAACCUCAAAUCGCAGUCGAAACUAUUAGGCUAGAGUAUAGUAGGGGUAAAGGGAAUUUCCAGUGGAGCGGUGAAAUGCGUAGAGAUUGGAAAGAACACCCGAUGGCGAAGGCACUUUACUGGGCUAUUACUAACACUCAGAGACGAAAGCUAGGGUAGCA
rnacentral:rRNA from 1 species